AGGCCCAAAGAGAAGCAGGGUCUGAUCUGCAGCCUCCGUGGCAGCUGUUGAUCAGCCAUUGCCUCUCUCUUUCUCUCCA
rfam:Myotis brandtii contig298508, whole genome shotgun sequence.